UGUGGAUGUGGCUCAAAGGUAGAGCGUUUGCUUUACACGCAAAAGAUUGUAGGUUCGAGUCCUGCCGUUUAUAUC
rnacentral:tRNA from 1 species